rfam:Gossypium raimondii Chr03_contig_984, whole genome shotgun sequence.
CCCUAAAAUGUUCAUAUAUUUGUAGUAUUAAAAGCUGGCUUAAUAAUUAGGCAGUUACAUAUGACAUACCAUGUGUAUCUUAUGUCGACUUAUAGGGACAAGUUUUUAACACUAAAAAUUGAUGGAGUUCUUAAUA